UACGUAGGGAGCAAGCGUUGUCCGGAAUCGUUGGGCGUAAAGCGCGCGUAGGCGGCCUCAUAAGUCCGUUGUGAAAGUCAAAGGCUCAACCUUUGAAAGCCGAUGGAUACUGUGAGGCUAGAGUCCGGAAGAGGCGAGUGGAAUUCCUGGUGUAGCGGUGGAAUGCGCAGAUAUCAGGAGGAACACCAAUAGCGAAGGCAGCACUCUGGGCCGGUACUGACGCUGAGGAGCGAAAGCAUGGGGAGCGAACAGG
rnacentral:rRNA from 1 species